AAGAAUUUAGCUUAAUUUAAGCAUUUGAUUUGCAUUCAAAAUAUGCAAGAUAAAGACUUUUACUUCUUA
rfam:Monodelphis domestica chromosome 6, whole genome shotgun sequence.